rnacentral:misc_RNA from 1 species
UAUGGAGGGUGCGAGCGUUAAUCGGAAUUCCUGGGCGUAAAGCGCGCGUAGGCGGCGUGAUAAGCCGGAUGGGAAAGCCCCGGGCUCAACCUGGGAACGGCAUCCGGAAAUGUCAGGCUAGAGUGCAGGAGAGGAAGGUAGAAUUCCCGGUGUAGCGGUGAAAUGCGUAGAGAUCGGGAGGAAUGCCAGUGGCGAAGGCGGCCUUCUGGACUGACACUGACGCUGAGGUGCGAAAGCGUGGGUAGCAAACAGG